GACGAACGCUGGCGGCGUGCUUAACACAUGCAAGUCGAACGGUAAGGCCCUUCGGGGUACACGAGUGGCGAACGGGUGAGUAACACGUGAGUGAUCUGCCCUGCACUUCGGGAUAAGCCUGGGAAACUGGGUCUAAUACCGGAUAGGACCACUGCCUGCAUGGGUGGUGGUGGAAAGCUUUUGCGGUGUGGGAUGGGCCCGCGGCCUAUCAGCUUGUUGGUGGGGUGAUGGCCUACCAAGGCGACGACGGGUAGCCGGCCUGAGAGGGUGACCGGCCACAGUGGGACUGGGAGACGGCCCAGACUGCUACGGGAGGCAGCAGUGGGGAAUAUUGCACAAUGGGCGCAAGCCUGAUGCAGCGACGCCGCGUGAGGGAUGACGGCCUUCGGGUUGUAAACCUCUUUCAGCACCGACGAAGCGUAAGUGACGGUAGGUGCAGAAGAAGGACCGGCCAACUACGUGCCAGCCGCCGCAGUAA
rnacentral:rRNA from 1 species